UACGGAGGGUGCGAGCGUUAUCCGGAAUCACUGGGUUUAAAGGGUGCGUAGGCGGUCUGAUAAGUCAGUUGUGAAAUUCCUCGGCUUAACCGAGUGGACUGCGAUUGAUACUGUCAGACUUGAAUCAGGUUGAGGUAGGCGGAAUGUGACAUGUAGCGGUGAAAUGCUUAGAUAUGCCAUAGAACACCGAUUGCGAAGGCAGCUUGCUGGGCUUAGAUUGACGCUGAGGCACGAAAGCGUGGGGAGCAAACAGG
rnacentral:rRNA from 1 species